rnacentral:lncRNA from 1 species
UCUUUUAAAAAUAAACUGCAAUUUUCACCACUGUUCUCUGGUCUGAAUUAUCUUCUCUUCACUGUAGAAUCUGUGGAUAAAUGCUACAGGCAGUCCUGGGCCACCAAUAGACUGUCUUGACUUUAUCUAACUCUGCACUGAAACAGGAUGUGAGUAUCUUCCGUCUUCCCUCCUCCACAGGAGUAAAUGCAGUCUAUUUUUCAGUGUUCUAAACAAAAGAAAUAUAAGAUGGAAAAAAGAUUUUAGAGAUAUAUUUGCAUUUGGGAGUACAAAAGCUGCAGACACCUCUGACACCUAUACAGAUCCAAAAGAUGGUGAGCAGUCAACUAACUUUAAGCAGUAACUAGCAGCUCUGAUGUACUGCUUGCCAGCUGGCCAAUAUUUCAACACAUGGAGAUGGAAUGGGUCCUGGCUGUGAGGUCCUGGCCUGCCUGCCACUUCCAAGGAGGACAAAGGGAUGCUGGAAAGUAAUCUAGGUUUUAUCUGGAUCAUCAAUGGGAGUUGAACUCUAUGAUCCUCGUGGGUAUCUUCCAACUUGGGAUAUCCUAUGAUGAGAAACUCUUGUUCCCCACAGCACUAAUAUUGAAUUUUAACUUUCCAUGAGGAGCCUUCUCUUUAGCGCCUCGCAGGGAGCACUCUGCAAAGGGAAAAAC